rnacentral:rRNA from 1 species
CAGCAGCCGCGGUAAUACGUAGGUGGCAAGCGUUGUCCGGAAUUAUUGGGCGUAAAGGGCUCGCAGGCGGUUUCUUAAGUCUGAUGUGAAAGCCCCCGGCUCAACCGGGGAGGGUCAUUGGAAACUGGGAAACUUGAGUGCAGAAGAGGAGAGUGGAAUUCCACGUGUAGCGGUGAAAUGCGUAGAGAUGUGGAGGAACACCAGUGGCGAAGGCGACUCUCUGGUCUGUAACCGACGCUGAGGAGCGAAAGCGUGGGGAGCGAACAGGAUUAGAUACCCGCGUAGUCCCUGUCUCUUAUAC